rnacentral:rRNA from 1 species
UCCUUUGACGUUAGCGGCGGACGGGUGAGUAACACGUGGAUAACCUACCUAUAAGACUGGGAUAACUUCGGGAAACCGGAGCUAAUACCGGAUAACAUAUUGAACCGCAUGGUUCAAUAGUGAAAGGCGGCUUUGCUGUCACUUAUAGAUGGAUCCGCGCCGUAUUAGCUAGUUGGUAAGGUAACGGCUUACCAAGGCAACGAUACGUAGCCGACCUGAGAGGGUGAUCGGCCACACUGGAACUGAGACACGGUCCAGACUCCUACGGGAGGCAGCAGUAGGGAAUCUUCCGCAAUGGGCGAAAGCCUGACGGAGCAACGCCGCGUGAGUGAUGAAGGUCUUCGGAUCGUAAAACUCUGUUAUCAGGGAAGAACAAAUGUGUAAGUAACUGUGCACAUCUUGACGGUACCUGAUCAGAAAGCCACGGCUAACUACGUGCCAGCAGCCGCGGUAAUACGUAGGUGGCAAGCGUUAUCCGGAAUUAUUGGGCGUAAAGCGCGCGUAGGCGGUUUUUUAAGUCUGAUGUGAAAGCCCACGGCUCAACCGUGGGAGGGGUCAUUUGGAAACUGGAAAACUUGAGUGCAGAACGAGGAAAGUGGAAUUCCAUGUGUAGCGGUGAAAUGCGCAGAGAUAUGGAGGAACACCAGUGGCGAAGGCGACUUUCUGGUCUGUAACUGACGCUGAUGUGCGAAAGCGUGGGGAUCAAACAGGAUUAGAUACCCUGGUAGUCCACGCCGUAAACGAUGAGUGCUAAGUGUUAGGGGGUUUCCGCCCCUUAGUGCUGCAGCUAACGCAUUAAGCACUCCGCCUGGGGAGUACGACCGCAAGGUUGAAACUCAAAGGAAUUGACGGGGACCCGCACAAGCGGUGGAGCAUGUGGUUUAAUUCGAAGCAACGCGAAGAACCUUACCAAAUCUUGACAUCCUUUGACCGCUCUAGAGAUAGAGUCUUCCCCUUCGGGGGACAAAGUGACAGGUGGUGCAUGGUUGUCGUCAGCUCGUGUCGUGAGAUGUUGGGUUAAGUCCCGCAACGAGCGCAACCCUUAAGCUUAGUUGCCAUCAUUAAGUUGGGCACUCUAAGUUGACUGCCGGUGACAAACCGGAGGAAGGUGGGGAUGACGUCAAAUCAUCAUGCCCCUUAUGAUUUGGGCUACACACGUGCUACAAUGGACAAUACAAAGGGCAGCUAAACCGCGAGGUCAAGCAAAUCCCAUAAAGUUGUUCUCAGUUCGGAUUGUAGUCUGCAACUCGACUACAUGAAGCUGGAAUCGCUAGUAAUCGUAGAUCAGCAUGCUACGGUGAAUACGUUCCCGGGUCUUGUACACACCGCCCGUCACACCACGAGAGUUUGUAACACCCGAAGCCGGUGGAGU